AACGCGAAGAACCUUACCUACCCUUGACAUCCUUGGAACCCAUCAGAGACGUUGGGGUGCCCGCAAGGGAACCAAGAGACAGGUGCUGCAUGGCUGUCGUCAGCUCGUGUCGUGAGAUGUUGGGUUAAGUCCCGUAACGAGCGCAACCCCUAUUUUUAGUUGCUAGCAGGUAAAGCUGAGAACUCUAGAGAGACUGCCGGUGAUAAGCCGGAGGAAGGUGGGGAUGACGUCAAGUCCUCAUGGCCCUUACGGGUAGGGCAACACACGUGCUACAAUGGGCGGUACAGAGGGAAGCAAAGCCGCGAGGUGAAGCGAAUCUCAGGAAAGCCGCUCGUAGUCCGGAUUGGAGUCUGCAACUCGACUCCAUGAAGUUGGAAUCGCUAGUAAUCGCGGAUCAGAAUGUCGCGGUGAAUACGUUCCCGGCCUUGUACACACCGUAGUAC
rnacentral:rRNA from 1 species